GACAAUAGAAGAUGCAGAUGAUCAUUCCAAAUCUAAUAUAGUGUAUGAGGAGAUCAUUCAAAAUGCAUUCACAUGAAAUCCUAACUUCUCUAUCAUUCGGAAGAAAAUCUACUAAACCAAAAAAGCCACCAAAUGUUUUCCAGUAAAAGCUAUUAGAAGACUCCGCACUACGUAACAAGGUUAGUGAAGCUUACACCCCAUUGUUAGAACUUAAAAUAGCACUUUUGAAGGAGUAGAACGAUUUUUUUUCAAAAUGAGAAAUCUUCAAGUUUUUAAAAUGUCUUGCCCAUAUAUUUGUCCGAUUAAAUAGAAUACUUACUUGAUUUUAAAGUUGAUUCAAAUUUUUUGUUUUAGGGUGAUAGAGGUCAAGAAUGAUGACACUCAUAGUAAAAGUUUGAUCUCAAAGUAUAUUUUCUAAUUUGUUGGUGUGAUUUAGUUCUUAAAUUGAGAAGUUUAAAGGUUCAUAGACCCUGACAUGAGUGCUACAAUAAAAAGUAUAUUUCCAUGUUGUUGGUAUUCUAUGUUAAUAGAAACUUCUCCCGCUGAGUUUACAGGUAGCUUCAUGUUCCCUAUCAAUAAAAAGGACUCAAUUGGAUAUGGUAGGUGAUUUACAUGAUCUAUAAUGAUAUUUAGUGGAAAUCAGUUUUCUCUUCUUUCACACAUAAAUGAUUGUGUCUUGAGGGGACAAGCUAAUUUCUUAAAUCAUUAUUGCCGUGUAAAUAUUUGUCACCUGAAUGAUUCUAAUUGAAAUAAAGCAGCAUUGUUGGUAAAAUAAAACUUUAACACUGCAACAAAGAGUAGUACAAAUAGUAGCCUAAAGUGUAUAAACAAGAUCAUUUUUGGAGAUAUUUUUAAUUCACUUGCAGCUCUUCCACGAUGACAUCUGUUAACAGGCGUGGAGUGGAGUGAGCAACAACUAAUUGUCUUUGUAGUUUCAUGUUGUUAGUGUUUUGUGGUGAUAGAAACUUCUCCUCUCAAGUUUGGAGGUUAGCUUCAUGUUCCCUAUCGAUGAAAAAGACUCAAUCAAUUAUUCACGUGGAUCAAAAAUUUGUACCAUAUGCAUUACCGAUAAUAUGGACGAACAAGUGCAUUGUUAUAAUUUUAUAGGAACGAGAUGUGUUAAACUUGAUUCUUCUCAGAAAGUCACAUGUAUUUACUUGAAACACGUGUCUCGCCACCUUUUCCUUUGAUGUUUAAUCUCUCUCUCACUCAAUAUCCAUCUUUUCAGAAGAAAAACUUAUAUGGAGCUUUGAAUUUCUUCGGUAUAUGUUUGUUUCUGGUUACAUGUCCAUGCAUUUUCAGAUUUUCGUUAUUCACUUCCUCCCUGAUUUUCUAUUAUUUUAUGCCCGUAUUCUUCUUCAGACCUAGAUUCCCAAUCUCGAGAUAUUAUCUCCCUUCAUCUAAAAUUUCUGAAGGAGUGGAUUCUUUCGCAUAAUACUAAAAAAAUUAGUAGUUUUACGGUUGAGUUUGUUCUUUAAUCUCUUUUUGAUUUUUUUUAAACUAAAAGCCUCUAACUACUGGAUCAAGCGCACUGGUAAUGGACUGACAGUAAGAUUUUCCCCUCUAUUUGUUAGUAUAACUUAUACAUUCAUUAUACAUAGUUUGUUUUUUAUUUACCAAUUAAUUCCUUUUAAGCUUCCUAUUUAUUUUGCUUUCUUUUGAUAAGAUUCUCAGGUUGAGGUUUGAUGCUAUCUCUGUUAUGAUAGAAACGUGCAAAUGCAAUUCCAUAUAUAAAUAAGCUGGUGACCUUUUUUUUCAAAAG
rnacentral:lncRNA from 1 species